UACGUAGGGGGCAAGCGUUGUCCGGAAUCAUUGGGCGUAAAGCGCGUGUAGGCGGUUCGGUAAGUCUGUCGUGAAAUCCUGAGGCUCAACCUCGGCGUGCGAUGGAUACUGCCGGGCUAGAGGGUGGUAGAGGCGAGUGGAAUUCCCGGUGUAGCGGUGAAUGCGCAGAUAUCGGAGACACCAGUAGCGAAGGCGGCUCGCUGGGCCACACCUGACGCUGAGACGCGAAAGCU
rnacentral:rRNA from 1 species